rnacentral:rRNA from 1 species
GUGAUCAUCGAGUCUUUGAACGCACCUUGCACUCUUUGGUAUUCCGAAGAGUAUGUCUGUUUGAGUGUUGCGACACAAGCGGCCUCCCUGUUUCUUACGAGAUGGGCGUGGGACCGGAUCGUGGCCGCUGCCGGACUCUCAGAGACCGGCUCGGCUGAAAUUCAUGAGCGACCACAUUGAAUACAGUGACGGUUUGACUCGGCGUAAUAAUCAUAUCUCGCUGAGGACGUCGCAUAAUUGAAAUAGGCGCUUCCAAUGCAAUUAAUUUUAAAGGUUAAACCUCAAAUCAGAUAGGACUACCCGCUGAACUUAAGCAUAUCAAUAAGCGGAGG